rnacentral:rRNA from 1 species
UGGCUCAGGACGAACGCUGGCGGCGUGCUUCAUACAUGCAAGUCGAACGAGAAGCUUACUUCGGUAAGUGGAAAGUGGCGGACGGGUGAGUAAUAUGUAGAGAAUCUGCCCUAAAGAGGGGGACAACAGAGGGAAACUUCUGCUAAUACCCCAUAUGCGCGUAGUUGAGAUACUAUUCGUGAAAGAUUUAUCGCUUUAGGAUGAGUCUGCAUCUGAUUAGCUAGUUGGCGGUGUAAUGGACCACCAAGGCGACGAUCAGUAGCUGGUUUGAGAGGAUGAUCAGCCACAAUGGGACUGAGACACGGCCCAUACUCCUACGGGAGGCAGCAGUAGGGAAUUUUGCGCAAUGGGCGAAAGCCUGACGCAGCCAACGCCGCGUGAUCGUAGAAGCCCUUCGGGGUGUAAAGAUCUGUCAGUAGGGACGAACAAUGACUGUACCUACAGAGGAAGCACCGGCUAACUCCGUGCCAGCCGCUGC